rnacentral:tRNA from 1 species
GCUCCUUGGUCAAGCGGUUAAGACACCGCCCUUUCACGGCGGUAACACGGGUUCGAGUCCCGUAGGAAGGA